rnacentral:miRNA from 2 species
AACAUCACUUUAAGUCUGUGC